rnacentral:rRNA from 1 species
AUUGAACGCUGGCGGAAUGCUUUACACAUGCAAGUCGAACGGUAGAGGGGGCAACCCCUCGAGAGUGGCGAACGGGUGAGUAAUAUAUCGGAACGUGCCCAGUCGUGGGGGAUAACGUAGCGAAAGUUACGCUAAUACCGCAUACGAUCUAAGGAUGAAAGCGGGGGAUCGCAAGACCUCGCGCGAUUGGAGCGGCCGAUAUCGGAUUAGCUAGUUGGUAGGGUAAAGGCCUACCAAGGCGACGAUCCGUAGCUGGUUUGAGAGGACGACCAGCCACACUGGGACUGAGACACGGCCCAGACUCCUACGGGAGGCAGCAGUGGGGAAUUUUGGACAAUGGGGGCAACCCUGAUCCAGCCAUUUCGCGUGUGCGAUGAAGGCCUUCGGGUUGUAAAGCACUUUUGGCAGGGAAGAAAAGGUUUGGGCUAAUACCCUGAGCCGCUGACGGUACCUGCAGAAUAAGCACCGGCUAACUACGCGCCAGCCGCCGCAGUAA